rnacentral:rRNA from 1 species
CCUACGGGAGGCAGCAGUGGGGAAUAUUGGACAAUGGGGGAAACCCUGAUCCAGCGACGCCGCGUGAGUGAAGAAGUCUUUCGGUACGUAAAGCUCUAUCAGCAGGAAAGAAAAUGACGGUACCUGACCAAGACGCCCCGGCUAACUACGUCCCAGCAGCCGCGGUCAUACGUAGGGGGCAAGCGUUAUCCGGAUUUACUGGGUGUAAAGGGAGCGUAGACGGCAGCGCAAGUCUGGAGUGAAAUGCCGGGGCCCAACCCCGGAACUGCUCUGGAGACUGUGAGGCUGGAGUGCAGGAGAGGUAGGCGGAAUUCCUGGUGUAGCGGUGAAAUGCGUAGAUAUCAGGAGGAACACCGACGGCGAAGGCAGCUUACUGGACUGUAACUGACGUUGAGGCUCGAAGGCGUGGGGAGCAAACAGGAUUAGAUACCCUUGUAGUC